AGUGAACGCUGGCGGUAGGCCUAACACAUGCAAGUCGAACGGCAGCACAGUAAGAGCUUGCUCUUACGGGUGGCGAGUGGCGGACGGGUGAGGAAUACAUCGGAAUCUACUUUUUCGUGGGGGAUAACGUAGGGAAACUUACGCUAAUACCGCAUACGACCUACGGGUGAAAGCAGGGGAUCUUCGGACCUUGCGCGAUUGAAUGAGCCGAUGUCGGAUUAGCUAGUUGGCGGGGUAAGGGCCCACCAAGGCGACGAUCCGUAGCUGGUCUGAGAGGAUGACAGGCCACACUGGAACUGAGACGCGCUCCAGACGCCGACGGUAGGCACCAGUCGGGAAUCUGCUGCAAUGGGCUGAAGCUGGACGGACCUUCGCCGGGUGAGUGAGGAAGGUCUCCGGAUCGUAAAAUUCGGUGACGAUGGAAGAACAAAAGUCUAAGUAACGAGGCAUGUCGUGAGCGGACCUAAUACGAAAGCCAAGGCUAACCACGCG
rnacentral:rRNA from 1 species